UAAUACGUAGGUGGCAAGCGUUGUCCGGAAUUAUUGGGCGUAAAGGGCUCGCAGGCGGUUUCUUAAGUCUGAUGUGAAAGCCCCCGGCUCAACCGGGGAGGGUCAUUGGAAACUGGGAAACUUGAGUGCAGAAGAGGAGAGUGGAAUUCCACGUGUAGCGGCGAAAUGCGUAGAGAUGUGGAGGAACACCAGUGGCGAAGGCGACUCUCUGGUCUGUAACUGACGCUGAGGAGCGAAAGCGUGGGGAGCGAACAGGAUUAGAUACCCUGGUAGUCCACGCCGUAAACGAUGAGUGCUAAGUGUUAGGGGGUUUCCGCCCCUUAGUGCUGCAGCUAACGCAUUAAGCACUCCGCCUGGGGGAGUACGGUCGCAAGACUGAAACUCAAAGGAAUUGACGGGGGCCCGCACAAGCGGUGGAGCAUGUGGCUUAAUUCGAA
rnacentral:rRNA from 1 species